GAGUUUGAUCCUGGCUCAGAACGAACGCUGGCGGCGUGCCUAACACAUGCAAGUCGAACGAGAAAGGCCCCUUCGGGGGCCCGGUACAGUGGCGCACGGGUGAGUAACACGUGGGUAAUCUGCCCUUGAGUGGGGAAUAACCCAGGGAAACUUGGGCUAAUACCGCAUAACAUCCCGUCUUCACAAGGAGGUGGGAUCAAAGCUGGGAAUCGCAAGACCUGGCGCUCGAGGAGGAGCCCGCGGCUGAUUAGCUAGUUGGUGGGGUAACGGCCUACCAAGGCGACGAUCAGUAGCCGGCCUGAGAGGGUGAUCGGCCACACUGGAACUGAGACACGGUCCAGACUCCUACGGGAGGCAGCAGUGAGGAAUUUUGCGCAAUGGGCGAAAGCCUGACGCAGCAACGCCGCGUGGAUGAUGAAGGCCUUCGGGUCGUAAAA
rnacentral:rRNA from 1 species